CUGCAGGAGAGAGAGAAGAUAAGACGGAGAGAGAAGGAGGAGAGGAGGGAGAGGAAAAGAGGUGCGGUGGCAGGGAAAUCGUCGUCGGAUGCGUCUUAUAUGUGAUGGGUGUGUUCCCAUCAAGUCGAUGGUGGGGUUGAUGUGCCCGUCGAUUCGUGAUCCGCUGGCUGAGCUCAUAUUCUCAAUGGCGGACUGGUGUUCUAUGUUAGUCGGAGCCAUUGUAUGUGGUUGUGCAGUUGCUGAUGCACAGGAGGCGUCCGUGGUGUCAGUUCUUCAUCGUCCAUGCUUAUCUUCUAUAUGCUCUAGCAGCCAGGAACCUCAAAUUAUGUAAAAGUUGGUGCUAAUCAACCGGGUGCAUACCUGCAGCCUUGAGGAGCAGUACUGAGGCAGGAGGUGUCUUCAAGAUAAAGCAGGAUUUAAUUGAUGGAGUCCUGCUGCUAAAGGACUGCUAAAGGACGUGAACAGGAAGUCCUAUCGCUGGAUGUUUAUUGUCCGAAUUGCAAGGAUCUGGGAAUACAUGAGUACAAACCCUAUCGAAUUCUAUAGCUCUAUUCAUUGGCACACCAGUUGAUCAAUUUUGAGGUAAUAAAGCGAAGUUGUUAUCUGGAAAAUACUUACCUACUUAAAGAAGGUCAAAAUAGAGAAAUCCUUGGCAUAAUUUUUAUGUAUACAAUAUACUAGCUUUCAUAUCUACUUUGGACACCAGAUGGCACAUCAACAUUAUGUACCUGAAGCGAUCGCUACAGAAGGAAGGCCUAGCACGCGAUAACGGCGCCAUGAGGAUUCUCUGCCGUGAGGAGUACCCCGACCCGUAUGAUGGCCACCGGAAGGUCACACACUUCUUUGGCUCGCUCCGACUGGCUCCAUUGACGACUUCUCUAACGUGUAUUUGUUGGGUUCCUCUUGGCGUGUCGAACAAAAAUUGGCGUUCAGCACUGCUAUUUAAAGAUGGUUUGAUCAGUACUACAGAAAACCCAUAGAUUAUUGUAGGUAUCUAAGAAUGAUGAUGAUUACACUCGGAGCAAGCCUUGUUGCGGCGCUGCAAGUGUUGCCCUCCUCCUCCCCAAGGGCAAGGUGAAGGAAGGUGCCUGUGUGGUUCUUCUGCAGCUCGUAGCGAGGAUUGCUGUGUCCAACCUGCACAAGAAUGCCAAGAAGUCCUUCUCGGAGACGUAAGCCAUGGCGCAUGUUUCUGCCAUGAUUUCCUUUGGUUGGAUUUCGUGGAUUUAGGUGUUGAAAAAUUAUGGGCUGUGGAUGCAGGAUUAAGGACAUGUACCUGCACUACAACGAGAGAUCUGGGCUGCUUCUUUGUGGCUUCCAAACUUGAAAUGUCUGUUUGGAAGUUAGUUUAGUUUUUUGUUGUGGAUUCACAGCUUCUCACAUGUACCAUCCUCUUAGACCUUUAGAUUUCCAAAGAAACUAAAUGAAGAUAUGGUGGUAUGGUCUCAAUGAAGCGUUCCAUGCUUUAUAUUUUCUCUAAAAUUUUCUCCUGAAGAAUCAUGUAUCUCUGUUAGAUCCGGUGAGAAAAGAGGCGGCUUCCAAGCAGAGGAUGCAGGAGUGUUGGCCACAUUUGGUCUUUGACUUGGGUGUGUAAAUAUUCUUACAAUACUUGGCUCCCUCUCGGCCUUUGCGCCAUUGGCGCAACGAGU